CACGUAGGGUGCGAGCGUUGUCCGGAAUUAUUGGGCGUAAAGAGCUCGUAGGCGGUGUGUCGCGUCGAUCGUGAAAACUUGGGGCUUAACCCUGAGCUUGCGGUCGAUACGGGCAUCACUUGAGUUCGGCAGGGGAGACUGGAAUUCCUGGUGUAGCGGUGAAAUGCGCAGAUAUCAGGAGGAACACCGAUGGCGAAGGCAGCCCCCUGGGCCAAUACUGACGCUCAGGCACGAAAGCGUGGGGAGCAAACAGG
rnacentral:rRNA from 1 species